UACGUAGGGUGCGAGCGUUGUCCGGAAUUACUGGGCGUAAAGCGCGCGUAGGCGGCUUUGUAAGUUAGAGGUGAAAGCCCAGGGCUCAACCCUGGAAUUGCCUUUAAGACUGCAUCGCUUGAACAUCGGAGAGGUAAGUGGAAUUCCGAGUGUAGAGGUGAAAUUCGUAGAUAUUCGGAAGAACACCAGUGGCGAAGGCGACUUACUGGACGAUUGUUGACGCUGAGGUGCGAAAGCGUGGGGAGCAAACAGG
rnacentral:rRNA from 1 species